rnacentral:ribozyme from 1 species
GAGAGAGAGAGGAGAGAGAUGAAAGGACAAACAGGGUUCGAGUUGUCUGCCGUCGCCCUUUCUCUUUAUUUUUUGUUAAUUUUUCUAUUUGUUUGUUUUACAC